rnacentral:rRNA from 1 species
UGAGGAAUUAUGCGCAAUGGACGAAAGUCUGACGCUGCGACGUCGCGUGGGUGAUGAAGGUCUUCGGAUCGUAAAACCCUGUCGAGAGGGAAGAAAGAGCGGGCGCUAAUAUCGCCUACUUCUGACGGUACCUCUGGAGGAAGCCCCGGCUAACUCUGUGCCAGCAGCCGCGGUAAUACAGAGGGUGCGAGCGUUGUCCGGAAUCACUGGGCGUAAAGGGCGCGUAGGCGGCCCGGUAAGUAGGGGGUGAAAUCUCAUGGCUCAACUGUGAGGCUGCCUUCUAGACUGCCAGGCUUGAGCACAGUAGAGGCGAGUGGAAUUCCCGGUGUAGCGGUGGAAUGCGUAGAGAUCGGGAAGAACAUCGGUGGCGAAGGCGGCUCGCUGGGCUGUUGCUGACGCUGAGGCGCGAAAGCGUGGGGAGCAAACAGGAUUAGAUACCCCGGUAGUCCCUGAGCGGGCUGGCAAGGCGCAU